UCUGGGAGCGCCAUUCGAACGACACCAAACAUUGCUAAUCGAUUUCCAGCGCGCAACUCUUUACUCUCUCUCCUGUACGAUUUCAAUUUGUUUCUCCUAGAAUUACAAAGUACAGUUGUUUUUGAUUCCAAACCCUUAAAGAAACGUCAGAACCCCUGUGAAAUUAGGGUUUUUAGAAAAGAGAAUCAACCAUGUCGAAGCGCAAAUUCGGAUUCGAAGGGUUUGGGAUAAACCGUCAACCUACCUACAACUUCGAGCGAUCCCAAGCUCCUCAGCGACUCUACGUCCCUCCUUCCUCUCGCCACGGCCACGACAACUACGAAGACACUGACCUUGACAACAUCGAUUACGCCGACAAUGAUACCUCCAAGGAAGCCGACAAGAAUAACCCCAACAGCAAUGGAAAUGGAGCGGAAGAUGACGAAAUUGACCCUCUGGACGCGUUCAUGCAAGGUAUUCAGGAGGAUUUGAAAGCGCCGCCGCCUCCGAAACCGAAGGAGAAGGCGGAGAGGUAUAGAGAUGAUGAUGAUGAGGAUGAUCCCGUGGAGAGUUUUUUGAGGGCGAAGAAGGAUGUUGGGCUGACGUUGGCGGCGGAUGCUUUGCGUGCGGGGUAUGAUUCAGAUGAGGAGGUUUAUGCGGCGGCAAAGGCUGUGGAUGCGGGGUUGUUGGAGUAUGAUUCAGAUGAUAAUCCGGUGGUUGUGGACAAGAAGAAGAUAGAGCCGAUUCCGGCUCUUGAUCACAGUGCCAUUGAGUACGAGCCGUUUAAUAAAGAUUUUUAUGAGGAGAAGGCUUCAAUUUCAGGAAUGAGUGAGCAGGAAGUUGCUGAAUAUCGGAAGAGUUUGGCUAUUCGUGUUUCUGGUUUUGAUGUCCCAAGCCCGGUUAAGACAUUUGAAGACUGUGGUUUUGCACCAGAAUUAAUGCGUGCUAUUGCAAAACAAGGAUAUGAAAAGCCUACCACCAUUCAGUGCCAAGCCUUACCUAUUGUCCUUUCAGGGAGGGAUAUUAUUGGUAUAGCAAAAACUGGUUCUGGUAAAACUGCUGCUUUUGUGCUUCCAAUGAUUGUCCACAUUAUGGAUCAGCCUGAACUUCAGAAAGAGGAGGGUCCGAUUGGAGUAAUAUGUGCACCUACUCGAGAAUUAGCACACCAAAUAUUCUUGGAAACAAAAAAAUUUGCAAAAGCCUAUGGGAUACGUGCCUCUGCUGUGUAUGGUGGAAUGUCCAAACUUGAUCAGUUCAAGGAACUCAAGGCAGGAUGUGAGAUAGUGGUUGCUACACCAGGUCGGUUGAUAGACAUGCUAAAAAUGAAGGCACUGACAAUGAUGAGAGCAACUUAUUUGGUACUCGAUGAGGCUGAUCGAAUGUUUGACCUUGGAUUUGAACCACAAAUAAGGUCCAUUGUUGGGCAAAUCAGACCUGACCGACAGACCUUACUAUUUUCAGCAACAAUGCCCCGCAAAGUUGAGAAAUUGGCAAGGGAAAUUCUCACUGACCCAGUCAGGGUUACAGUUGGAGAAGUGGGAAUGGCUAAUGAGGAUAUCACCCAGCUUGUUCAUGUAAUUCCUUCUGAUUCUGAGAAGUUGCCCUGGCUUUUAGAGAAGCUACCUGGAAUGAUUGAUGAGGGUGAUGUUUUGGUGUUUGCUUCCAAGAAAGCUACUGUUGAUGAGAUUGAAUCACAGCUGUCUCAGAAGGGUUUUAAGGUUGCUGCCCUUCACGGUGACAAAGAUCAGGCUUCUAGAAUGGAAAUUCUACAAAAGUUUAAAUCUGGCAUCUACCAUGUUCUCAUUGCAACUGAUGUUGCUGCUCGAGGUCUUGACAUCAAGUCAAUUAAGUCAGUUGUGAACUUUGAUAUCGCAAAAGACAUGGACAUGCAUGUCCACCGUAUUGGUAGAACAGGUCGUGCUGGUGACAAAGAUGGCAUUGCUUAUACUCUGAUAACUCAGAAGGAGGCUCGGUUUGCUGGUGAAUUGGUUAAUAGUCUGAUUGCUGCUGGUCAGAAUGUCUCAAUGGAACUCAUGGAUCUUGCUAUGAAGGAUGGAAGAUUCAGGUCCAAGCGUGAUGCAAGAAAAGGAGGUGGGAAGAAAGGCAGAGGAAGGGGUGGUGGUGGGGGUGGGGGUGGUCGAGGUGUGCGUGGAAUUGAUUAUGGUCUGGGUAUUGGAUAUAAUCCAGAAUCCGGUAUUUCUUCAUCUCAGGCUGUCCAAAGUCGAACUGCCGCUGUAAAUUCUCUGAAAACUGGCAUGAUGGCACAAUUCAGGAGUAGCUUUGUCGCUGCUUCAUCAACCUCUCAGGGUCAAGGCUUCAGUAACAGUUCAAGCAUCAGGAGACCAACUUUGGCUGGAUUUGUAUCUGGUGGGACCAUUGGUGGAGAUAUGAACAGGGUUCAGAUGGCCAGUUCAUUGACCACUGCUCCUACAUCAGGAUUGAACACUCCACAAAAUACUGGACAAAACACUACCCAGAAGAACUCAGAGAGUUCCAGAGAUAGACCUAGAGAAAGGCGGAGGCCCUCUGGGUGGGACCGUUAGUCUUUAGACAUUGAUGGAUGAUGCUUUUUACAUAAACAGGAACCUUUUGUGUUCAAAUCUUGAAUUAAUCUUGUCUGUAUAAUUAUCAUGAUUACUCUUGAAGGGCAUGGUUGUUUUUGGAUUUUAAGGCUGUCUUCAGUUAUGGAGCAUUUUAGAUCCUAGACAGUGGAGGGUGUUUGUGGAGUACACUUAACGAGUUGCAAUUCAUGAUCUUCGUUUCAUCUGGCCAAGGCUAUUAUUUAAUUUAAGCUUGGAAAUGCAGCGAAGAAAAUUGUUGGCCAGGAGCAGCAGCCUUGCACAAGAAGUUGCUUAGUUCCCGUCGCUGGGCUGGAGAUUGUGAUCAGCUGAACGGCUUGAAAUGCGUAUUCAUCUUGCUUCAAUUAUAAAUACAGCGCUGCUGGCAAUCCUCAUUAUCAGGUUUCGAGUAAGUGCACGUCAGGUUUAGUCAUGCACAUGAUAAUUUGUCCUACCAACAAGCUUCUGAAUUUACCCUUUAAGCGAUUAAGGGAUAGAAAUUGUAUGCAGUUCUAGGCCAAUUUUGCUAUAAUGAAAUUCUGGAAU